CAAAGGGCAGGAUGUCCACCGCUCACAUUCAAGGCUCCGCAGCGGCGUGCCUGAGCGCUCGAUUGUUUCCCCUUUACGGACCAGUUGAUUGGUUUGCCCGCGCGCAUCGGACAAGUGUAGCUUAUUUUAAGGGAAUUUUGCCUCGGGCUGAUUCAACGGAACGGAAAGAAUAAUAAUGUGUCGUGUUGUUGUAUUCUCCUCUCUUGGGUUGUGGGGUUGAUGCGUGCAGCUGGGAUGAGCGGGCGGGACCGUCCACAGAGAGACUGCGGAAGGAGACUUGGAUGGCUUCAACCGUCUGCUAAUUCCUGCACUGGCGGAUGAAACAUUGGCAUUGGACAGAGGUCACAUUCGGAGGACGCACUCAUCAGUGGGCCGCUAGUUUUCUGCUGCUCUUCUGGUUUCCGAUGAAAAGGGCGAUGAAAGGGCGGAGGAACGGAGUGUCGCGCUUCCUCGACUGCCAGCAGAGGAAACGCUGCUUGAGCAGGGGUGUGGGAACGCCAAAGCCAGCAGCCAGGGGCUCAGCGGGGCGCCGAAGGCCUCCUUGGCAGGAUGCAAGCAAAGGGGAUUGUGGGAAAUUACACGGGAUUACAGCGGGCGUCUAAUGCCCUGAUCCAGCGGGACAUUUUCAUCAAGAAACAGCGCUGUCGGACAGCCGCAAAGAGGGAGAGAGAGAGAGAGGAACCUCAGCCAGUUUUUUUUCUCUCCAGCUCCCCCAGGAUUAGACCUCGCAGAAAACCUUCUUUCUUCGCUUUUGUGUUGCUUUUGCAAGCUGGUACCUCUUUGAGCAACAUUAUCCGUGGACACAGAAAGACGAUGGAGAGAGAGGAGGGGGGGGGG
ensembl:lncRNA